GACGAACGCUGGCGGCGUGCUUAACACAUGCAAGUCGAGCGGUAAGGCCCUUUCGGGGGUACGACGAGCGGCGAACGGGUGAGUAACACGUGGGUGACCUGCCCUUAGCUCUGGGGAUAAGCCUGGGGAAACUGGGUCUAAUACCGGAUAUGACUCCAUAACGCAUGUUGUGGGGGUGGAAAGCCUUGUGCGGCUAGGGAUGGGCCCGCGGCCUAUCAGCUUGUUGGUGGGGGUGAUGGCCACCAAGGCGACGACGGGUAGCCGGCCUGAGAGGGCGACCGG
rnacentral:rRNA from 1 species